GCUUUUGGCUCAAGAUCUUCCCCCUUUCAGAUGAUUCUCAUACUCUGGCAGGUUUGGACAAAAAACCACAGCUCUAAGACCACACAGUAGCUUCCUGGUCCUUCCAGAGCCCCCGCGGUUGACCCUGGGAGUUUGGGGUCCAGGCGCCAGCGGGGCGGGCCAGGUGUGCAGAGGGCGGCGCCGCUGCAGCCCUGCCCAGGGGCGGAGCUCACCUGAGGAUCAGGUAGGCAGCUCCCGGGCAACCCGGCCGCCGGGGAAGCCUGGGCGCGCAGCAGCCGCGGCCUCGCUAGGGCUCCAGGGACGCGGGCAGGGACUGCGGCCCGCCCCACGCCCGGCCGUGGAGCAGCCAGGACGCCAGCUCACCAUGGGGAGACGCCUCAAGUUUCUGCAGAAACUGCCCUUCCUGGGCCAGGACCAUCGGUACAAGCUGCUGGAGAGAGACGAGGUGGAGACCCUGGCUUCUUGUGUCCUCAGCUGAGAACUCCAACCUGAAGGACCACCCUCUGUAUCCUUGCUUCAUGGCAUCGCGGCUUUGAAAGCAGCCCCGCCUGUAAGGAAGUCACACCCCGAGGCUAGAGUGAUGGUGGUCAUGGGACAGGGCGCAGCAUAUAGCCCCAAGUGCCUUAUGGCAAAAUCUCCUGAAGAGUCACUGUCCUUCCAGAAGCUGCAGCCACUGUGAGAAAACCACGGGGGCUGCAGAAUUCUCAAAGUUAGGCCAAGCCCCGCUCUGUGCCACUGCAAGGCCUCUUCCAGAACCUUCUGCUGACUUACUGGAGGGAAGAGAGCCCAGCGAAGCUUGAUCAAGUGUAGACAGUGAAGACAACAUGCCCGUGACCUGUGUUUCUGGAAGCUUCUGGAACCAGGGUCAGCAUUGCUCAUGAUCUCUUGAACAGCCGUGACUAUGAAGCCUGGUUAGUCUGUAUGUCACCCGCAAGACCACUCGUGUAUCUGCCACCCGGAGUUCCAGCUGCAGCACCUGGAGGGUCCACCCCUUCCUGGUGUACGGAGGAGGCUGAGGUGACUCAUCCCUGUGUCCUGCUGUG
rnacentral:lncRNA from 1 species